ACACACACACUCAGCUGGAGGAGCGUUUGAAGCCGCAGACGCUGGACUUUCAUCACACAGGGGUCGAACUUUGAUUCUCCGUCAGACCUGAGACCUGCUUCUGUAUGCUGUUUAGAUCCUCUGUCACAAGUGUGUGUGUGUGUGUGUGUGUGUUUCAGGAGUGGCAGGGGGUUUAUUAUGCCAAAAAGAAGAACGGAGACAGUGUGCAGCAGAAUGUGAAGAUGACGCCUGUCAUUGGACAGGGAGGUAAAAUCAGGCACUGUGUGUCUGUUAACAGGCCUUUAAAUGACCAUAACAAGAAAGAAAAGUCCUGUGAGCAAGUCCAGGCCGAAUCACAGACAGGUACCAGAGUCACACAGUAUUUAUUUACACGUGAUUUGAUGAUUUUGACUAAUGCUUGAACUCAGAGAGAGAGAGUG